CACAGGUACAGGCAUACCCACAGACGUGCACACACGUAAACACGUACACGACCGUGUACACACACGCACAUGCACUCAUAGACACCAACGUUCCUACACACGCACCCAUUCCUCCCCCCACACAGCACAUCCUUAUACACGUGACACACACGCACCCCUGUCCACUAACCGCACAUACAGACCCCCCCACGCACGUGUGCAGACGUCGCUGUGCUCUGGCGAGAAUGGAUUUCUUCCACUUUCUGUAAUCCGGGAUUCCCGAAGUUAUCACCUUAGAUCCUCUGUACUUCCCGGAGCCAAGCGCGUGGGAGCCGCCUUGGAGCCGUUUCCGGAAGGCACUGUCCUUGGGGCACAGCCGCCUCUCAACCAGGCGGCCCUGACAAGGGGACCCCCCCCAGGUGCAUGCGAUGAUAUGUUACGGGGCAGAGCUGCUUUGUGUUUUGCUUUAUUUUUGUUCUGUUUUGCCUUUUGAGCCCGGACCAGAUGUAGGAGAACCUUGCUCGGUGGGGCGUCGGCCCGGAGCCGCCCAGAGGUCUCGCCCCGUCCGUGCGGGGUCCCUGUGGGAAGGCAGCCGAGCCAGGCCGGGCACGGGACAGGAAGCGCUGCGGCCACAACUUCCCUGGAUGCAGCCGCCCUGGAGGUCCCCGUACGAGUCCUCUGCUGUGGACAUAAGGCCGUGUCGGUGAUUAGGAAGUCGAGGCUCCGGGAUGGAAGGUCACCGCCCGACGCCCUGCUCCCCAUCCCUCCGAACAGCCGCCACCGUUUUAAAGACUAUUGCCUGAAAGUGGCGCGUGUCCCUCCCGCUCGUGUCACUGGCUGUGGCGGAUCGGAUGCCCCUGCCGACUCCGAGGAGGCUCCGCGGGCUUGGAGGCAGGACGACUGGAAUAUCACAGAUGGUGUAAUGACGACCACAUGCCUCUGUCACUGGGCUCCACGUGGGCGGGACUUCGUCUUAUUGACCCCAAAGCCCUGGCCCCCAGCCCACGGGCUGCUGCGAAGGAAGGUGGGGAAGUGAGCGUCCAGCGGCUCUCAGAGGUCGUCACGUAGGGCCCAUCGUGCUGCCCCUGACGAGUCUCCAGAGCGCGGCUCGUGGUCCCCUCUGUUCCCCCAGGUGGCACGGACACUGAGCAGGCGCUACCGAAUACUCCCCAAAGGAAUGAAGGUGCAAUUGCUGAUGUGUGGCAUCUGCUCACGGGGCGGCUGCCGUUGCUUUUCACCUGACUGGGCGCCACCUGCAUCGCUGGCCGCAAGGCCGGAGCGGCAAGUCGGGAAAUGGGAAGGCGCCGAGGUCAGAUUCCCGAGGGAGGGUGGCCAGCGCGUGCUAGCCCCGAGCGAAAGCAAAGAUUGGACAAGGCUCGGUCAGUCCCCCGUGACUGUCACAGCACGGGACCUUCAUACAGCAGUGACUGAGUAACGCUAGUUGCUUUGUGGUUCGACCGAGUAGCCGUGAACCCACGGAGAGCGGGGACGCUGUUCCCAGCCGCGUCUGAAGACACAGAGGAGCAGAUAAAACAGAGGCCUCGCUGCAGGAUCGGUGUGAUCCAGAAAAACCGCCUCCACCCCAUUACCCUCCGGGAGUAGGGGGCUCUCUAGAGUAGGGAUAGUUGGAUAAAUAGGGGCUACACUAUUCAAACACGAGGCAUUUUAUUUUUAUUUAUUUUUAAGGUUUACUUAUCUGAGAAAGAG
rnacentral:lncRNA from 12 species